rnacentral:lncRNA from 1 species
GGUUUGAAAUCAUCCCACCCAUCCCUACCCUGGAAAUAUACACCUAGAAAACUCCGCCCCUAAGGACCCCUGUGUAAGCCUUUUUCCCAUGCAGCUCUCUGUUGCGUCUCCCUGAGCAGAGGUAAUUACUCUCUGUGUCAGCCUCUUGUGUGAGGUUGGCCAGUAUGACUUUGUUGUUUUUCUGACUGUCAGGCCACCUUUCCCCUCAGAGGAAAAUCUUUCCUCUCAGAGCUGUGAAUGUUCUGCCUGCCUACGUGUGCAUUGUGUGAGUUGGAAUUUAUGGAACUGGGGUUACAGAUAGUUGUGAGCCACCCUACCAGUGCUUUUAACUGCUGAGCCAGCUUUCCAGUCCUCACUAUGAUGUAAUCUUUGAAAACAUAUUUUCAUAAGUUCAGUUAAGCCAGAGAAAGGAAUCCCUUCUUAUUGUCAGUUGCCAAUAUUUAUAUUUAGUUUUCAUCCAAAGACAGACAAGCACAUAAUCAGCCACGAAAACCAAGCUCUGUUUACCUCCACACAUUCUACAAGGCUACCUGUCAGUCAGGAACAUUCCAGUGCUGCCUGCAGCUGAAAGACCCACAACGUGAGGACUCCCCCACGUUCUGACUCAGGAGAGGCGACACCCCAAAAUCACCCACAAGAAACGGUCUUGCUGCAAACUGCAAGAGGAUUUUUAUUCAAGAGCGCUCUCGGGCCCACGGUCAUAUACCACGCAGGGGUAGAGGACCGUGGCGCCCCGAGUAGCUGGAUAAGGGGGUAUUUAAAGGAAGAAACCACAACUCAAGGAGGUGGGAAGGGCAUUGUUGGAAGAUACCAAAGAUACCAGUUAAGAGUCACAAGGAAGUGCAAAGUCACAGGUGUCACAAGGAAUACCUGGUAAUUGUUAACUCUCAAGACAGUUUCUAAGAGCCCCUAACAAUAGCACAUUUGCAUUGCAGGUUCCGGUAAUGGUCAGGGUGACUUUCUUUGAAUGAAUACUCCUUGAACUCAGGAAGUGGGUGGGUAGAGGAAUGUCACUAUCUGUUUUAUGAUUAGCAUACCUUGGAGCACUGAGUUUACUACUCUUUCACAGCUCGUAGAUGUCAUACAUUCAGCCCAUAUGUGAGAACUAUGCUCUGAUCAGUACUAGUCUAGCACAUGUGGCCUCUCAAGAGUUCUUUAAAAUUCUCAAAUUUGGCCAGGCAGUGGUGGUAGUUCAUGCUUUUAAUCCCAACAUCGAGAAGCAAAGGCAAGUGGAUCUCUUGAGUUCUAGGCCAAUCUGGUCUACAGAGUGAGUUCCAGG